AAGCCUAUACCCUACCCUAAAAGAGAGUUUCUGACUGAUGAGGAUGAUGACAAGGCGGACACAGGAGCCAGUAAGUCCUCUAACCACACCCAGCCAGCCAAGCGUGUCCGCGUGAUGCCCCCCUCCACCACCAGUACCAGCGCCUCUAUGGUAACUAGUGACUACCAGCACAUGCACAAUGUUCAAGGUAGUCAGCAAGGAAUGACCUUCACCUCAGGCGGCCAUCAGACCUCAACGACCUCUACAACGAACUACGGCCAGUCGUCCCGAUUCUGAGAGUCCUGUAGCAAGUCUCAUUCUGAUGAGAAUGUUUAAAAACUUACUCAUUUAUAAGGGUAUUGUGUUCUUAUUGAAAGCAUCUUGGAAAUUAAAAUCAGCUACCAGUAUUCUGUUCUCAGUUUCCCCGUAGUGACUUUCAGCUUGUUUUAGUGACCUUCACUUUGCUAAGUUAAACGCUGACUAAAGGUCAGAUGUGUGUUAAAAUGGAUGUGUAAGUUCAGUGAAUGUAUGUGUAAUAACUCAGUGAGUGUGUAUAUGUAGUUGUCAGUGGUUUCAAGUCCAUUGUAUUUUAAAUCAUGUGGUACUCCUAUUGAAUAUGCAUCUGGGCAAUUCAUAAAGUCAUUCAAAUAGAGGGCAAACUCUGCAUUUUUGUCAAAUCUGAUCGUAACAUAAUAAAAUAUUUAAUGU
rnacentral:misc_RNA from 1 species